AUACGUUAUAAUCCGGCGUGCGAGCGAGAAAGAGAUAUAAUUUACUUGUGUAACGAUGCUAUCGUUACAGCAUAAUUUAGCAUUUAUAGCAUUUAUAUCAUUUAUGUUAAUAGCUUUUUCGACUGCAGUGGGUUUUAACCCAGGUUCGUUACCAUUUGUCGGGAUCGUUCAAUUGGAACGGACGAUCGUCCAUUCUAAUUGAACGAUUCCGGCAAACGGCAAUAAACCUGGGUUAAAAACCACUGCAGUCAAAAACGCUAUAAGAUUCAUAUUAUACAUAAUUCGCGCCUCGUAGCGCAUAGCGCUCUAGUAUAACAUCAUGUUUCAGUCUCGUGACAAAAAACAUUUGAUUCUUGAAACUCGUCGAGACAAGUCUUCAGUUCACUAGAUUUUCUUUCUUGUUGAGAAGUGCAUACAUAAUCGAAAUAAUGAAUAAUGAAAUUGUUGAAAACACAUGUGCCUCUCAAAUGGAUAACAUUGAUCUUCCGGAAAAAAAUAAUCUAUUAGCAACAUGUAAUACAGAUUGUGGAUAUAUCAACGAUAUUCAACAACAACAACAAUGCAGCGCUUUAUUAGUAGAGCCUACUGACGUCAUUCAUCAAGGUAUACAAUUACCUUUCAACGAUAGUGUUGUACAAGAAAUAGGCAAGAUAAAUAAGAAAAGAAAUGCUGCUAUUGAUGAUGAACUAUUGAAUGUAAAACAAAUGCGAAGAAAUGAUCCCAAUAAUUCUUUAGAGAGACAAGGUAUGUAAGAGAUAUUAAUUAUUUAAUAAACCUUUUUAGUGUGGCCUUAAAGAAAUGUGUAUAUAUUUUAAUAUCUUGUUUGUUUAUCAUAUCAUUUGCAAAGAAAAGUAGAGUUUUUUAAUAUAAACAUUGUAAUUAUUGAAUAGACUUUCGUGUAAUAAUAAACUAUUAUGAUAUUCAGUUAUUUUUGUUUCAGUUAUUUUAUUCAGUUAUUUUUGUAAUUCCUCGGGCUGCUAAUAUAUUUAAUUAUAAUUGUAGAUGAAUCUGACGAAUCUACAACUGAUAUGAAGACGAUAAGAGAAUCUCUACGGUAUAUAUUUAACGAAAACGUUAAGUUAUUUUUACAUACAGGGUUGGGUAAACUUCCGAAAACGAUCAAAUAUCUCGAAAAAGAUCAACUAUAGCAAAAAAUAUUUUGAAAGCUGUUAUACUAACAAUUCUAUUGAAAAUACAUGGAAAUGUAACGAAUUACCGAAAUUGCCUUGCAUUCUACCAAUAACAUUUGAAGAUUUUACAAAAUUAGAACAAUAUCUUUACAAUGAAAACAAUUUAGGUUUUUUGGUAAAAUAAGCAUUCGUAAAAUUAAAAAUGUAAAAAUUAGAACAGCUUAUAAUUAUAAUAAAGUUUUUUCUAGGCAAAUUAUUUGUCAACAAUUGGAAGCUGUGGAGACAUUACAUCAAUAACAAAUAACAUACUUCAUAGCCUUUUAUCAAAUCAAAUUGCAUCGUUGUACAGUUUUUAUGGAAAGCGGAAUAAUAAAAGGUCCUUUGUGCUACUAAAGGUCAAUAGUGUGGUGACUUCAUCAGUUCUUAAGGGACUACCCGGUUUUACGAACAUCAAGUACACGAAUGCAUUAAGGUAUGGCUAAAACGCUCCACAACGCUCUGUUAUAAAAAAGAAGAAGCAGUAGCACAUUAUUGAACGAACCUAUAUCUGAAGAGCAUUCUCUAUAAUUCCACAACUGUUAUCAAACUAUUGUAAUAUUUAUUGUAAUAUUUAUGAAGAGAAAUUAGAAUUAAAAUUUAAUUGUGAUUUUUUAAAUAAUAAGUAAUAACUAAUAAUAUUAAUGUAUAUUAUUACCUAUGAUAAUGCUUAAUGUGUCAAUGAUAUUAAAUGUAUGAUAGUCAUGAAGAGAAUGGAGCAAAUGCUAAAUUUCUUUAAGGGGGCAUAUACCAUAUACCUAGGAGGCCAAAAAAUGGCAAUUUCUUGGAAUUUUUGUUGGAAACUGAUGAAAUUACCGAACUGUGGGUUUUUUUGAAAAUAUACAUUUUGAAGAAACUUUAUAAUUUUUUUUAUUAAAAAAUUGCGCAAAAUCGAAGAUACGAUGUCGCGAAGAGGCAGCCUUGAAAAAAUCUCUUAAAACGGUACCAAGUGUACCUUCAUCAAAAAUCAAUUGAAACAAAAAAUGUUUAAAUAUAUAAUAAUAGAAAGUUAAAAUAUAUAAUAAUAUCUUUGGCGCAUUGUAUUCAAUUUCAAAAAUAUCAUUUUUUGACAAUGUGGUGGGUGUUAAAAUUUAGCACUUUGCACUCCUAUGUCGAAUGUGACUCGACAUCAGUUUUUAUCUCAGGAGCUCCUUUGUUGAAUCUCACUUGACAUUUUUUUGCCUUAUUUUUAAAUUGCCCUAUUUUUUAGUUGAAGUAAAUUUUAAAUAAAACACUUAAAAGCCUUGGGAGCUGGUGGUAACAAAAUUAAAAUAUAAUUUGGAAUGCAAAAGGUUAACGUUGCGAUUUUUAAGACAAAAUCCAUUCAUUUUGUUUCCUCGCCCUCCCCCCCCCUCUAAAAAAUUCAUGAGGUCUAAAAAAAUCCUUACAAUACGCGAUAGAUAAUUAUGUGUAGAAUAGUCACUAGAAAUUUCAAGCAAAUCGGUUCAGUGGUUGUUGAGAUAUUUCUGAUACCAGUUUGAAAAAUUUUGUUUCGAGAAAAAUGCGUUUGAAUAUUCAACAUGUGUUUUUGUUAAUAAAACAUAAAAUUUGUUUAACUUACACAGAGUCGUCAAUUCUAGGCCCAUAAUACAAGUUCUCUGCAGUAGAUGCACAUAUCGUCUAAAUUUUGUUGUCGGCGACAUAUUCGCGCUUCUUUUGUCUGUUCCUGCGUAUAUACCUCGACUUGCGUUAUGCGGCGAUCAUCUUCGCGCGCAGCAUAUUGGUGUGCAUUCGGUCCUCGAGAAAUGCCCAUAAUGCUCAUUAUUCGUAAUAUUGAAGUUAUAUCAUCGUUGAACAUGCAAGCAGCUAUGUAUGCAGCAAUUUCUACUGUAAUAGCACCGCUGUGCGUUUUUAAAGCUAUUUUCCAAAUUAUACUGUUAAAACUUUUAUUGCUAUUCUGUUGUGAGUAUAGUCACCAACACAGCGCUCCAAUAAUGCGUCUUUGAGAUAUUAGACACGAAGUAUUAGACACGAAACCAAAGGGACGGGCCGUGGUCAAACCAUAAUAUCUCAACAGCGCGCGGCGCGGUGCAGCGUGCCAAUAUGCUAUCAGUCAUAUGAUAAAACUAUAAUAUGUUAUUUUUCGGAAUUUUGACUUGAAAUUUUCACCAGACAUUCUCGAAAAAUUGUAAAAUUGUAAUAUGUAAUACGCCGCGGGCCUGAUAGUUUAUUAAUACAUACAAGGCAUUGCAGUUCUGUCCUGUUGUUUGGUUGCUAGGCAACCGAUCAUCAGUGAGUCGCUCUUUCCGUUUUAAAAGGACUAACACGUACAAUUAAUCUUUACGUUUAAAUGCCCAAAAAUGUAUUUUAAAUAAAAUAAUUAAAGAAUCUCACAAUAUUAAACAUUAUAAAUAUGUAAUAAUCCAAAAAUUGAUUUUUUUGACCUUGCUAGGUAUAUAUGCCCCCUUAAGAUGCCCAAAGUUUCAUAUUAACAUUUUUAAAUACGACAAUGAAUUACAUGAUAUUAAUAAAUAUAUCAUGCAAACAAGAAGUAUGAGAUUACUGUUAACAGGCAAAGGAUUAAAACAGAUAUUGAUAUUUCAGGAUCUAAAAUUCUUCUAGGUCUAAUAAGAAAAGGAAGAUAUACAUGUGAAUCAUACUUCUAUUACUUCAUUUAUCCAACGGAGUCGAAAUUAGUAAGUUGAACUCAUAAUGGGAGAUAUAUCUAGCUAUUAUAUCUGAUUUAGUUGAAACAGUGCAGAUAACUUCCGUAACAUUAGCAAAGAUGUUAGAUAAGUGGAGAUAAGAGGAGCGAGAGAGAAGUAUGUCAGAGCAAUUCAUGUAACAGGCGAACUCGAUGGCCGUCAUUCCUGUCGAAUCACUGAAGCCAACGGAAGCGAAUUCUCCGGUGGCUGAUGUAACAUCGUGGAGACCCACUGACACGCAUCAAACGAUAAUGCUUAUCCUGAGACAGAUUAUGCGGAGAAAUGUUUUUUCAAUUUAAAUUCCUGCUUUGCGACACAGGAAGUUGCAAUCUUCUAAAUUCGUAAGACUUCCACGAAAAUAACGUCACCAAAGAAGUAUCGCAUACAGACACAAAACUAAUUAUGUGGACACAGAAUUGUUGCACGUUUAUUUUAUGCUACUCACUGAAUAUUUUAUAUUAUAUUCAUUAAAUAUUUACGUUAUUUUAUGCGAAUUCACUAAAUAUGUAUUAUAAUUUUUAAGAAUAACUCUCGAGUGAAAGUGAUAACCUUUACCAGUGAUACAUUUCCGUCUCUCAAAAGCAAACUUGUAUUGAAACUAAAAACAUUCAAAUCACAUUUAAUAGUAUUUAAUCGCAAAUUUUAUGAGAAAGUAGCAUUAAAUAAAAUUUUUUACGCUAAUACUAAUAAAACUAAUAAUACUAAUAAUACUAAUAAAUAUGCGUACUAAAGUUCACCAUUUUGAUUCAUUUACACGUUUAAAAGUUAUUUAACUAAAACUGCAACAAAGUAUCAUUUUCUCCAUAUAAGCCAUUUUAAGCUUUUACUAGUUUUUCUUUGCAGUUGGUUUGUAGGACCAAAAUUCGGGUAUUUAUGAUCAAAAUUUUUAUUAUUGAUUAGAGAAAGAAAGAAUAAAUUUUAGAAGCAAUUUUUUAAUUUUGAUAAAUUCUAGCUAAUAUUGUAGCUAAAACAUUCUUAAAUAAACAAGAUAAUCUUUCUUAUAUGUGUACACGAAACUAAUUGGCAGGAUACACAAGAUAUUAGGAGAUUGUUUUAUGCUACAAAUUAAGAACUCACGAGGGAACCAUACAAAGUUGAUACAUGAAUUUCGUGAAAAAAAUAUCCGCAUCUAGAUCUGUUUAAACACAUGUGACAGGUUUAAUUUUUCGCAAGCCCAUAAAAAAAAUUGGAAGAUUGAAAGUUAGCGCGCGCGUAGUAGGUCCACUAUAUUGUUGACUUUUUUUAUUUUGUUGACUGAGCAGAAUAGGCUGUAAUGUAUAUAAAGCACGGAUUACAGAAAUUAUUGUUAUACAUGAUGUUUUAUUAAUGUCAACUUUGCUGUUGAAUGUACGAAUGUUUAUGAAUUACGUAGUAAUUUAAUAAUUAAUAACUAUACUUUUCAUGAUUAAAACAACUAUAAUUAUGUAGUUAGCACGAAAAAUGACUAUUAAUUAUAGUUAAAUUAUAAUAAUUGCAUUUUUUUCUUUCACUGGACAUCUCGAACGUAAGUUUACAAAACGGCGAUAGCUUUAUUGCUCUAUGCAUUGCGUACUGACAAAUGUCAAGGUUCUGUUAUAAAAA